GAUCCUGGCUCAGGAUGAACGCUAGCUACAGGCUUAACACAUGCAAGUCGAGGGGAAACGACAUCGAAAGCUUGCUUUUGAUGGGCGUCGACCGGCGCACGGGUGAGUAACGCGUAUCCAACCUGCCCAUCACUUGGGAAUAACCUUGCGAAAGUAAGACUAAUGCCAUGAUAUCCCACGAAGGCAUCCGAAUGGGAUUAAAGAUUUAUCGGUGAUGGAUGGGAUGCGU
rnacentral:rRNA from 1 species